rnacentral:rRNA from 1 species
AACGAACGCUGGCGGCAGGCCUAACACAUGCAAGUCGAGCGCGCCCUUCGGGGUGAGCGGCGGACGGGUGAGUAACGCGUGGGAACGUGCCCUUUUCUACGGAAUAGCCUCGGGAAACUGAGAGUAAUACCGUAUACGCCCUUUGGGGGAAAGAUUUAUCGGAAAAGGAUCGGCCCGCGUUGGAUUAGGUAGUUGGUGGGGUAAUGGCCUACCAAGCCGACGAUCCAUAGCUGGUUUGAGAGGAUGAUCAGCCACACUGGGACUGAGACACGGCCCAGACCCCCUAGGGGGGGCAGCAGUGGGGAAUUUUAAAAAGGGGGGGCAACCCUGAUCCACCCAGGCCGGGGGAGUUAUGAAGGCCUUGGGGUGGAAAAGCUCUUUAAGCGGGGAAGAUAAUGACGGUACCAGCAGAAGAAGCCCCGGCUAACUCCGU